rnacentral:rRNA from 1 species
UAGCUACAGGCUUAACACAUGCAAGUCGAGGGGCAGCAUGGUCUUAGCUUGCUAAGGCCGAUGGCGACCGGCGCACGGGUGAGUAACACGUAUCCAACCUGCCGUCUACUCUUGGACAGCCUUCUGAAAGGAAGAUUAAUACAAGAUGGCAUCAUGAGUCCGCAUGUUCACAUGAUUAAAGGUAUUCCGGUAGACGAUGGGGAUGCGUUCCAUUAGAUAGUAGGCGGGGUAACGGCCCACCUAGUCUUCGAUGGAUAGGGGUUCUGAGAGGAAGGUCCCCCACAUUGGAACUGAGACACGGUCCAAACUCCUACGGGAGGCAGCAGUGAGGAAUAUUGGUCAAUGGGCGAGAGCCUGAACCAGCCAAGUAGCGUGAAGGAUGACUGCCCUAUGGGUUGUAAACUUCUUUUAUAAAGGAAUAAAGUCGGGUAUGGAUACCCGUUUGCAUGUACUUUAUGAAUAAGGAUCGGCUAACUCCGUGCCAGCAGCCGCGGUAAUACGGAGGAUCCGAGCGUUAUCCGGAUUUAUUGGGUUUAAAGGGAGCGUAGAUGGAUGUUUAAGUCAGUUGUGAAAGUUUGCGGCUCAACCGUAAAAUUGCAGUUGAUACUGGAUAUCGUGAGUGCAGUUGAGGCAGGCGGAAUUCGUGGUGUAGCGGUGAAAUGCUUAGAUAUCACGAAGAACUCCGAUUGCGAAGGCAGCCUGCUAAGCUGCAACUGACAUUGAGGCUCGAAAGUGUGGGUAUCAAACAGGAUUAGAUACCCUGGUAGUCCACACGGUAAACGAUGAAUACUCGCUGUUUGCGAUAUACUGCAAGCGGCCAAGCGAAAGCGUUAAGUAUUCCACCUGGGGAGUACGCCGGCAACGGUGAAACUCAAAGGAAUUGACGGGGGCCCGCACAAGCGGAGGAACAUGUGGUUUAAUUCGAUGAUACGCGAGGAACCUUACCCGGGCUUAAAUUGCAGAUGAAUUACGGUGAAAGCCGUAAGCCGCAAGGCAUCUGUGAAGGUGCUGCAUGGUUGUCGUCAGCUCGUGCCGUGAGGUGUCGGCUUAAGUGCCAUAACGAGCGCAACCCUUGUUGUCAGUUACUAACAGGUUCCGCUGAGGACUCUGACAAGACUGCCAUCGUAAGAUGUGAGGAAGGUGGGGAUGACGUCAAAUCAGCACGGCCCUUACGUCCGGGGCUACACACGUGUUACAAUGGGGGGUACAGAGGGCCGCUACCACGCGAGUGGAUGCCAAUCCCCAAAACCUCUCUCAGUUCGGACUGGAGUCUGCAACCCGACUCCACGAAGCUGGAUUCGCUAGUAAUCGCGCAUCAGCCACGGCGCGGUGAAUACGUUCCCGGCCCUUGUACACACCGCCCGUCAAGCCAUGGGAGCCGGGGGUACCUGAAGUGCGUAACCGAGAGGAGCGCCCUAGGGUAAAACUGGUGACUGGGGA